UGGACAGUGACCACCAGGCUUAGAAGGUC
rnacentral:piRNA from 1 species